CCGCCCAGGCCUCCCCUGGCCCUGGCUGACUAGCCACCCCCGACACUGCAGCGCCUGCCGGCCUCGGGGUCCCGCCCUCUGCCUUCGCUCGCGCCGCGCUCCUUCAGCAUCCCCAGGGCCUGUUUCACGGAUGGGGUUCCCUUGCCCGCGUGAAUAUCUUCCUCCUCAGCUCGGAAACACUCUAAGGUCUCAGCGACCGAUACUGGCCUUCCCUCAUCCGAAUACCCCUCGUGCCCCGAUGUACUUUUCCAUUCCCACUCCACAUGCUGGCAGCCUAGCUUCUAAGCUGAGGAGCUUGGCCUUCGCUCCAGGUGCUGGAAGGAUUUGAUUCGCAGUUUAGAAAGAUCGCUCUGCUCCUGUGAGGAGGGCGUGUAGGGGCUGCAACCAGAGACACAGUCAGAAGCUCCGAGGCUACAGCGAUGGUCCAGGUGCCACAGGACACAGCCUAACAGAGGCCCAGGUUGGAGCCAUGGACCAUGGAGUCAUGAGAAUGGAAGGGAAGCUGACGCCAUGUGGGAUGGGGUAGAACUGUCCGCAAAUUCGUCCCGCCUCUGGAGUCUUCAGACCAGUCAAGACCGAAAUUGAACCAAGCCUCUACUCUCUAUAGCUGUUAUUUGUUUGCAGCACGUGGUCAGGUGGCACUCUGCAGGAUUUAUCAGCUUUUUGCCAACAUUCUGGCCUAUGCAAUCAAUACGUCCCUUCAGCGUUGCACUUGGAUGGAUUGGACCUACAGUUGUUCUAUAUGGAUAUUAUCUAAAUUAUUUAUUACAGUAUUAGCUGACUCCUAUCUUCUGGCCUUCAGAAUUUCUCCUUUGGAUCAAUUACUAGCCUGUCUUACAUUUUCUGCUUCAUUCCUUUAAAAUGUUUACAGAUGA